rnacentral:rRNA from 1 species
UACGAAGGGGGCUAGCGUUGCUCGGAAUCACUGGGCGUAAAGGGUGCGUAGGCGGGUCUUUAAGUCAGGGGUGAAAUCCUGGAGCUCAACUCCAGAACCGCCUUUGAUACUGAGGAUCUUGAGUUCGGGAGAGGUGAGUGGAACUGCGAGUGUAGAGGUGAAAUUCGUAGAUAUUCGCAAGAACACCAGUGGCGAAGGCGGCUCACUGGCCCGGUACUGACGCUGAGGCACGAAAGCGUGGGGAGCAAACAGG